GAUCAAGUCCAUGAAAGUAUUGAUUCCUCGUAGUUUACAAGAAAAGGUACAGACAAAAGCAAAACGACAUAGUUUUAUCAUAGCCUUGCCCAGUUUACUGGAAUCUACUUUCAACGGCUUUAUAAAGGAAGAGUACCAAGGCUUUCUCUUGUCUCAAAUCUCAAGACCCAUCAAUGGCAGAAUCAACUAAGAGGUAUGCAGUUGUGACAGGAUCAAACAAAGGAAUCGGAUUCGAGACUGUAAGGCAAUUGGCCACAAAGGGAAUCACUGUGGUCUUAACUGCUAGAGAUGAGAAGAGGGGCCUUGAAGCUGUGGAGAAACUUAAAAUGUCUGGCCUCUCAGGGCAAGUGGUUUUCCACCAACUUGAUGUGGCUGACCCUGCUAGUAUUGCUUCUCUGGCCCAAUUCAUCAAAACACAGUUCGGGAAACUCGAUAUCCUGGUCAACAAUGCCGGGAUUGGUGGAGUUAUAGUUGAUACUGAUGGUUAUAAAGCUGCAUCUGGAUCUGCUGCUGAAGGAGGACAGAUUGAUGUGAGAAAGUUCAUGACUGAAACUUAUGAGUCAACAGAAGAAUGCUUGCAAAUCAAUUAUUAUGGUGCUAAAAGAACAGCUGAAGCACUUAUUCCACUCCUCCAGCUAUCCGCUUCACCAAGAAUUGUUAAUGUUGCAUCCUCUAUGGGGAAGUUGGAGAACAUACCAAAGUUUCUAAAAGACUUCAAGGAGGGUUCACUUGAAAUCAAGGGUUGGCCUGCUUCUUUCCUGUCAGGCUAUACAGUCUCAAAAGCAGCACUGAAUGCAUAUACGCGUAUUUUAGCCAAGAAGUUUCCUGGUUUUCGUGUCAACUCUGUCUGCCCUGGCUAUGUCAAAACAGAUAUAAACUUCAAUACUGGCGUAUUGCCUGUUGAAGAAGGCGCUGCAAGUGUAGUGAAGUAUGCAGUUAUUACAGGAUCAAACAAAGGAAUUGGGCUGGAAACUGUAAGGCAGCUGGCCUCAAAUGGAAUCACUGUGGUGCUAACUGCUAGAGAUGAGAAGAGAGGCCUUGAAACUCUUGAGAAACUAAAAGAGUCUGGCCUCUCAGGCCAUGGGUUUUCACCAACUGGAUGUUGCUGACCCUGCUAGUAUUACUUCUUUGGCACACUUUAUCAGAACCCAGUUUGGGAAGCUUGAUAUCUUGGUAAACAAUGCAGGGAUUGGCGGAUCAAUAAUCGAUGCUGAUGGUGCUAAAGCUGCAGUUGCAGCUGGGGGACCAAUUGAUUGGAAAAAGCUUGUGACAGAAACUUAUGAAUUAACAGAAGAAUGCUUGCAAAUCAAUUAUUAUGGAGCUAAAAGAACAUCCGAAACUCUUAUCCCACUCCUCGAGCUACCUGAUUCACCAAGAAUAGUUAAUGUUUCAUCCUCUAUGGGGAAGUUAAAGUACAUGCCCAGCGAUAGAGUUAAAGGAAUUUUCACUAAUUUAGAGAACCUGAAGGAAGAUAGUAUAGAUGAAGUAUUGACAGAGUUUCUCAAGGACUACAAGGAGGGUUCACUUUUAGCAAGGGAUGGCCUUCUUCUAUGUCAGGCUAUACAGUUUCCAAAACAGCACUAAAUGCGUAUACAAGGAUUCUAGCCAAAAAGUGCCCCGAUUUUCAUGUCAACUGUGUCUGCCCCGGCUAUGUCAAAACAGAUAUGAACUUCAAUGCCGGUGUUGUGCCGGUUGAAGUAGGAGCUGCAAGUGUAGUGAAUUUAGCAUUGCUGCCUAAUGAUGGCCCUUCCGGCCAAUUCUUUGUUCGGUCUGAAGUUAGUGAUUACUGA